rnacentral:rRNA from 1 species
UACGUAGGGGGCAAGCGUUGUCCGGAUUUAUUGGGCGUAAAGGGCGCGUAGGCGGCUUGAUAAGCGUGCGGUGAAAGCCCGGGGCUCAACCCCGGGUCGGCCGUGCGAACUGUCGAGCUGGAGCACUGUAGAGGCAGGUGGAAUUCCGGGUGUAGCGGUGGAAUGCGUAGAGAUCCGGAAGAACACCGGUGGCGAAGGCGGCCUGCUGGGCAGUGGCUGACGCUGAGGCGCGACAGCGUGGGGAGCAAACAGG